UAUUCUGUGAAAUAUGAAAAAGUUAGUAUUCAGAUUUAAUCAUUAACCAAAUUUUAAAUUAUCUGAUUGAAAGGUAUUCUGCGUAAUGAAUACUAAAAAAGGUUCUGUGAGUAGAAUGUGCAAAGUGUCAAAUUGCCGUAACCUGAAAAGUGCAAGUGUAAAACUGUAUAGUGUAUAGUUUACCAAAGGAGGGUGUAAGGCGAGACUUGUGGUUUGAGAGAAUGUAUUACAUCAACGACACCAACCUGAAAAAUCUGUAUGUGUGUUUGGAUCACUUUCUCACAGGAAAGCCGAGUGGAGAAUUCAAAAAAAAAAACAUGUUGAUUGGGCACCCUCUAUAAAUUUGGGAUCAAAUAAGACGAAACAAUUUCUAGUUGGUGAUCAGAAAGUACGUAACAAUGUUGCUUUUGACAAGGCUGAUACACCUUUGCCUUCAUCAACACUACCCGUGAUGGGAGAGCAAUGGCCAUGAACUCUUGAACCCAACCAUCUUUUACAGCCUUUUUGGAUUAAGAAGACAGCCCCUUGUAUGCACCAAGGGCUUCCAGAUGAUUUUGAUAGCUUUUUGUUUCAACAAGAUAUAUGAAGAUAUCUGUGGGAGAAAUUUUUUGAACAAUUUAACAACAGUCUAAACCGUGUUUCAACAGAGAAUUAGGAAUACAAUAUGGACAAUCACUGUUAAACAUUUGUAACUUUUCCAAAUAACGUGUUUUGGCCUCAAUACUAAGUCCACAGGCAUAAUUAGACAGUGACAUAGUUAAACACUAACACCAUAACGAACUAAUAUAGAAAGAAAACACAUCAGAACUUCAAGACAACCCCCUUUUCUAUCACUGUUUUUUUUUAUUCAUAUUUCGCAGAACUACACAAGUCACUCGUAGCAGACGAAAAAAAUACAUGAGUUGCUGCGUUUCACGAUUUCAACAAAUCUUUAAAAAGAUGUCCAACAGCCCUAUAGAAUACUUGUGGCGCCGGGUAGCGCCAGUGCCAUGUUAACUCCUCCUCUCGGAAAUUUUCUCUGUGGUUGAACGUUGAAACCCAAGUUUACGAAUCGAUAGUGAAAAUUGGAGCUAAGAUAUCGAACUCGCUUCUUGCCAUUCCUCCAAUUUUCCCUCCAUUCCUAUUCCCCACUUCCCAACGCACCCGCUGUAGUGCUUAUAGCUAAGGAGCAGGGCAGGAAAGCAGGCUUCACUUCCAGAGAAAAAAACAAUGGAGUGGAAGGGCUCCCCAUAUGAGUGGUGGUACCAUGGUGGAAGAGAAAAUGGUGGAGCCACGGGAUAGGGAUUUGGCCUGUCAAACUGAAGCGAAUGCUUAGGCAGGCCACUACGGCGCCACCGUCGUUUCUACCGGUUUCAAGAGCUCUUAUGGCACAUUUACAUGUAACGGGAUUUGAAACAUUUAUUUUUAAUACUUAGACAGGUAUGAUGGUAAAUCUACUUAAUUAUCGUUUAUUUAUCGUACAAUAUUUUAAAAUUAUCACGGAAGAUAAUU